UGUCGGUCCCCUCGCAACGAUACGCUGCGAACCCCGCCAGGCCCGGAAGGGAGCAACGGUAGCACCGGAUUCGUGUGCCGGGGUGUGGCUGAUACGA
rfam:Methylocaldum sp. 175 genome assembly, contig: JC06DRAFT_unitig_0_quiver.5